rnacentral:ncRNA from 1 species
GGCAGUGACACGGGGUGCCCGCACGGCGGGCUGAGAACACACCCGUCGAACCUGAUCUCGAUCAUGCGAGCGAAGGGAUGUCGCGAUGAACGCGC